GACGAACGCUGGCGGCGCGCUUAACACAUGCAAGUCGAACGAAGAGCGAUGGAAGCUUGCUUCUAUCAAUCUUAGUGGCGAACGGGUGAGUAACGCGUAAUCAACCUGCCCUUCAGAGGGGGACAACAGUUGGAAACGACUGCUAAUACCGCAUACGAUCUAAUCUCGGCAUCGAGGAUAGAUGAAAGGUGGCCUCUACAUGUAAGCUAUCACUGAAGGAGGGGAUUGCGUCUGAUUAGCUAGUUGGAGGGGUAACGGCCCACCAAGGCGAUGAUCAGUAGCCGGUCGGAGAGGAUGAACGGCCACAUUGGGACUGAGACACGGCCCAGACUCCUACGGGAGGCAGCAGUGGGGAAUCUUCCGCAAUGGACGAAAGUCUGACGGAGCAACGCCGCGUGAGCGAUGACGGCCUUCGGGUUGUAAAGCUCGGUUAAUCGGGACGAAAGGCCUUCUUGCGAAUAGUGAGAAGGAUUGACGGUACCGGAAGAGAAAGCCACGGCUAACUACGUG
rnacentral:rRNA from 1 species